GCUGUAGCCAAGUGGUAAGGCACCAGACUUUGACUCUGGCAUCUCGGCGGUUCGAAUCCUCCCAG
rnacentral:tRNA from 1 species